UAGAGUUUGAUCAUGGCUCAGGAUGUACGCUGGCGGCGUGCCUAACACAUGCAAGUCGAACGAAGCUCCCAGAAUUGAGUUUUCGGACAAGAGGAAGGGAUGACUUAGUGGCGGACGGGUGAGUAAUGCGUGAGCAACCUGCCUUUCAGAGGGGGACAACAGUUGGAAACGACUGCUAAUACCGCAUAACGUAUAUUGAUGGCAUCAUCGAUAUACCAAAGAUUUUAUCGCUGAAAGAUGGGCUCACGUCUGAUUAGCUAGUUGGUGAGGUAAUGGCUCACCAAGGCUGCGAUCAGUAGCCGGACUGAGAGGUCGAACGGCCACAUUGGGACUGAGAUACGGCCCAGACUCCUACGGGAGGCAGCAGUGGGGAAUAUUGGGCAAUGGGCGCAAGCCUGACCCAGCAACGCCGCGUGAAGGAAGAAGCUUUCGGGUUGUAAACUUCUUUUGGCAGGGACGAAAAAAUGACGGUACCUGCAGAAUAAGCUCCGGCUAACUACGUGCCAGCAGCCGCGGUAAUACGUAGGAGCAAGCGUUAUCCGGAUUUACUGGGUGUAAAGGGCGCGUAGGCGGGAUGCAAGUCAGAUGUGAAUCUGGGGGCUCACCCUCAACUGCAUUUGAAACUUGUAUUUCUUGAGUGGAUGGAGAGGCAGUUGAAAUGCU
rnacentral:rRNA from 1 species